rnacentral:rRNA from 1 species
CCCCAGUAAACGGCGGCCGUAACUAUAACGGUCCUAAGGUAGCGAAAUUCCUUGUCGGGUAAGUUCCGACCCGCACGAAAGGCGUAACGAUUUGGGCACUGUCUCAACAACAGACUCGGUGAAAUUGUAAUUCCGGUGAAGAUGCCGGAUACCUGCGACAGGACGGAAAGACCCCAUGGAGCUUUACUGUAGCUUGACAUUGGGUCUUGGUACUACAUGUACAGGAUAGGUGGGAGGCUUUGAAACCAGGACGCCAGUUUUGGCGGAGCCAUCCUUGGGAUACCACCCUUGUAGUACUGGGACUCUAACCAUAGGCCAUGAAUCUGGUCUUGGGACACUGUCAGGUGGGCAGUUUGACUGGGGCGGUCGCCUCCCAAAAGGUAACGGAGGCGCUCAAAGGUUCUCUCAGUACGGUCGGAAAUCGUACGUAGAGUGUAAAGGCAAAAGAGAGCUUGAUUGCAAGACAUACAGGUCGAGCAAGGAUGAAAAUCGGACUUAGUGAUCCGGUGGUUCUGCGUGGAAGGGCCAUCGCUCAACGGAUAAAAGCUACCCUGGGGAUAACAGGCUUAUCUCCCCCAAGAGUCCACAUCGACGGGGAGGUUUGGCACCUCGAUGUCGGCUCAUCACAUCCUGGGGCUGUAGUAGGUCCCAAGGGUUGGGCUGUUCGCCCAUUAAAGUGGUACGCGAGCUGGGUUCAGAACGUCGUGAGACAGUUCGGUCCCUAUCCGUCGCAGGCGUAGGAAAUUUGAGAAGACCUGUCCUU